AGAGUUUGAUCAUGGCUCAGGAUGAACGCUGGCGGCGUGCCUAACCUAUGCAAGUCGAGCGAGGCUUCGAGCCGAGCGGCGGACGAGUGAGUAACACGUACCUAAUCUGCCUGUAAGUGGGGAACAACCGCCCGAAAGGGUGGCUAAUACCGCAUGUGCUCUACGGAGUAAAGCUUUUGCGCUUACAGAUGAGGGUGCGGCCUAUCAGCUAGUUGGUGGGGUAAUGGCCUACCAAGGCAUUGACGGGUAGCUGGUCUGAGAGGAUGAUCAGCCACGCUGGGACUGAGAUACGGCCCAGACUCCUACGGGAGGCAGCAAGUGGGAAUAUUGCACAAUGGGCGAAAGCCUGAUGCAGCGACGCCGCGUGAGGGAUGAAGGUCUUCGGAUCGUAAACCCCUUUUGUCGGGGACGAGCAAGGACGGUACCCGACGAAGAAGCCCCGGCUAACUACGUGCCAGCAGCCGCGGUAAUAC
rnacentral:rRNA from 1 species